UAUUCUGUUACUUUUGUUUUAGGGACAAGGAAAAGUUUUGAUCACUUGAUAUCAGACACAAAGGCUCCUAAAAGGCAAGAAAUGGAAUCAGGGAUCACAACACCCCCUAAAAUGAGAAGAGUAGCAGAAACUGAUUAUGAAAUGGAAACUCAGAGGGUUUCCUCAUCGCAGCAGCACCCACAUUUACGUAAAGUUUCAGUGUCCAAGAGGAACGUUCUUUUGGAUGAAGAAGUACUUACUGAUCCAAAGAUCCAGGCACUUCUUCUUACUGUUCUAGCAACGCUAGUAAAAUAUACCACAGAUGAAUUUGAUCAACAAAUCCUUUAUGAAUAUUUAGCAGAGGCCAGCGUUGUAUUCCCCAAAGUAUUUCCUGUUGUGUAAGUAUCUUCCGUAUUGAAUUAACCUUUGUACCUAUCUUUAUGUCAAAUGCUUUGUAAGGAAUUAGGGAA
rnacentral:lncRNA from 1 species